AUUGAACGCUGGCGGCAGGCCUAACACAUGCAAGUCGAACGGUAGCACAGAGGAGCUUGCUCCUUGGGUGACGAGUGGCGGACGGGUGAGUAAUGUCUGGGAAACUGCCCGAUGGAGGGGGAUAACUACUGGAAACGGUAGCUAAUACCGCAUAACGUCGCAAGACCAAAGAGGGGGACCUUCGGGCCUCUUGCCAUCGGAUAUGCCCAGAUGGGAUUAGCUAGUAGGUGGGGUAACGGCUCACCUAGGCGACGAUCCCUAGCCGGUCUGAGAGGAUGACCAGCCAAACUGGAACUGAGACACGGUCCAGACUCCUACGGGAGGCAGCAGUGGGGAAUAUUGCACAAUGGGCGCAAGCCUGAUGCAGCCAUGCCGCGUGUAUGAAGAAGGCCUUCGGGUUGUAAAGUACUUUCAGCGAGGAGGAAGGCGUUGUGGUUAAUAACCGCAGCGAUUGACGUUACUCGCAGAAGAAGCACCGGCUAACUCCGUGCCAGCCGCCGCCGUAA
rnacentral:rRNA from 1 species